UCUGUAAGUUCAAGGCCAGUCUG
rnacentral:piRNA from 1 species